GACGAACGCUGGCGGCGUGCUUAACACAUGCAAGUCGAACGGAAAGGCCCUGCUUUUGUGGGGUGCUCGAGUGGCGAACGGGUGAGUAACACGUGAGUAACCUGCCCUUGACUUUGGGAUAACUUCAGGAAACUGGGGCUAAUCCCGGAUAGGAGCUCCUGCUGCAUGGUGGGGGUUGGAAAGUUUCGGCGGGUGGGGAUGGACUAGCGGCUUAUCAGCUUGUUGGUGGGGUAGUGGCUUACCAAGGCUGUGACGGGUAGCCGGCCUGAGAGGGUGACCGGCCACAUUGGGACUGAGAUACGGCCCAGACUCCUACGGGAGGCAGCGGGGGGGAAUAUUGCACAAUGGGCGGAAGCCUGAGGCGGCAACGCCGCGUUCGGGAAGACGGCCUUCGGGUUGUAAACCGCUUUCGCCUGUGACGAAGCGUGAGUGACGGUAAUGGGUAAAGAAGCACCGGCUAACUACGUG
rnacentral:rRNA from 1 species